ACUCCUACGGGAGGCAGCAGUGGGGAAUAUUGGACAAUGGGGGCAACCCUGAUCCAGCCAUGCCGCGUGUGUGAAGAAGGCCUUUUGGUUGUAAAGCACUUUAAGCAGGGAGGAGAGGCUAAUGGUUAAUACCCAUUAGAUUAGACGUUACCUGCAGAAUAAGCACCGGCUAACUCUGUGCCAGCAGCCGCGGUAAUACAGAGGGUGCGAGCGUUAAUCGGAAUUACUGGGCGUAAAGCGAGUGUAGGUGGCUCAUUAAGUCACAUGUGAAAUCCCCGGGCUUAACCUGGGAACUGCAUGUGAUACUGGUGGUGCUAGAAUAUGUGAGAGGGAAGUAGAAUUCCAGGUGUAGCGGUGAAAUGCGUAGAGAUCUGGAGGAAUACCGAUGGCGAAGGCAGCUUCCUGGCAUAAUAUUGACACUGAGAUUCGAAAGCGUGGGUAGCAAACAGGAUUAGAUACCCUGGUAGCGUCGU
rnacentral:rRNA from 1 species